GAUGAAGAACGCAGCGAAAUGCGAUACUUGGUGUGAAUUGCAGAAUCCCGUGAACCAUCGAGUCUUUGAACGCAAGUUGCGCCCGAAGCCACUAGGCCGAGGGCACGCCUGCCUGGGCGUCACACGCCGUUGCCCCCCCAUCUACUCCUUCGGGAUUGCGGGGGGGCGGAUGAUGGCCUCCCGUGCGCCUAGCCGCGCGGUUGGCAUAAAUACCAAGUCCUCGGCGACGCACGCCACGACAAUCGGUGGUUGCGAAACCGCGGUUGCCCGUCGUGUGCGUUCGUCGCGCAUCGAGGGCUCGAAAAAAUGCUCGGCUCCGGCUGGGCUUUCAACGCGACCCCACGUCAGGCGGGGUUACCCGCUGAAUUUAAGCAUAUCAAUAAGCGGAGGA
rnacentral:misc_RNA from 1 species